UGGGGAAUAUUGCACAAUGGGGGAAACCCUGAUGCAGCGACGCCGCGUGAACGAAGAAGGUAUUCGUAUCGUAAAGUUCUGUCCUAUGGGAAGAUAAUGACAGUACCAUAGAAGAAAGCUCCGGCUAAAUACGUGCCAGCAGCCGCGGUAAUACGUAUGGAGCGAGCGUUGUCCGGAAUUAUUGGGCGUAAAGGGUACGCAGGCGGUUUAAUAAGUCGAAUGUUAAAGAUCGGGGCUCAACCCCGUAAAGCAUUGGAAACUGAUAAACUUGAGUAGUGGAGAGGAAAGUGGAAUUCCUAGUGUAGUGGUGAAAUGCGUAGAUAUAUGGAGGAACACCGGUGGCGAAAGCGGCUCUCUGGUCUGUAACUGACGCUGAGGCUCGAAAGCGUGGGGAGCGAACAGG
rnacentral:rRNA from 1 species